CAUGGUGUUGAAAGAGAACAAAUUUUUUCAUUUGAUACAGAAAAGGCUCUUCCAACCAUUUAUUUUAAAAGGAUUUUGUAUAUGCCACUUCAAGGAGCGAAAUUAUGUUGUUUGCAUGCUUUCAUCCUCACAGCAUUUAAUAUUGUUUCUGAUGGAUUCGCAAUUUACAUUUGGUGGUGGUUAAUGGGAUUUCCUAAUCUUUCUCCGGAUAUGGGUCAGACAGACUGUUAGAUUCUUAUUAAGGACGUCCUAGAAGAGAGAGAUUGAUAUUAAAGACAAUAGGGAGGCACAGAUAUAUUGAUGGACGA